UACGUAGGGGGCUAGCGUUAUCCGGAAUUACUGGGCGUAAAGGGUGCGUAGGUGGUUUCUUAAGUCAGAGGUGAAAGGCUACGGCUCAACCGUAGUAAGCCUUUGAAACUGGGGAACUUGAGUGCAGGAGAGGAGAGUGGAAUUCCUAGUGUAGCGGUGAAAUGCGUAGAUAUUAGGAGGAACACCAGUUGCGAAGGCGGCUCUCUGGACUGUAACUAACACUGAGGCACGAAAGCGUGGGGAGCAAACAGG
rnacentral:rRNA from 1 species